rnacentral:sRNA from 1 species
AAAGAAAGUCUCCUAAAGAAUCUACAUUUCGCUGUAUUAUCCGUAACAACGUCCUGCAGGUCUCUAAGUUCAGUCAAGAUUUCAAAGCUAUCCCUGCCUUUUCGAAGGCUAAAAACUAUUUAAUUAUCAGGAUGUUAGACAUGUCUAAUACAGUUAAAGGAACCGUUAAGUGGUUCAACGAAUCAAAAGGUUUUGGUUUUAUUGAGCAAGAGUCUGGUCCAGACGUAUUUGCUCACUUCAGCGCUAUUCAGAGCUCAGGUUUCAAAACCCUGGCUGAAGGCCAGCAAGUUGAGUUCACUGUAACUCAAGGCCAGAAAGGUCCUCAAGCUGAGAACAUCGUACCUCUGUAAGGGGUAAUUAAAC